CUACGUGCCAGCAGCCGCGGUAAUACGGAGGGUGCGAGCGUUAAUCGGAAUAACUGGGCGUAAAGGGCACGCAGGCGGUGACUUAAGUGAGGUGUGAAAGCCCCGGGCUUAACCUGGGAACUGCAUUCGAAACUGGCAGGCUAGAGUCUUGUAGAGGGGGGUAGAAUUCCAGGUGUAGCGGUGAAAUGCGUAGAGAUCUGGAGGAAUACCGGUGGCGAAGGCGGCCCCCUGGACAAAGACUGACGCUCAGGUGCGAAAGCGUGGGGAGCAAACAGGAUUAGAUACCCUGGUAGUCCACGCCGUAAACGAUGUCGACUUGGAGGUUGUGCCCUUGAGGCGUGGCUUCCGGAGCUAACGCGUUAAGUCGACCGCCUGGGGAGUACGGCCGCAAGGUUAAAACUCAAAUGAAUUGACGGGGGCCCGCACAAGCGGUGGAGCAUGUGGUUUAAUUCGACGCAACGCGAGGAGCCUUACCAGAUCUUGACAUCC
rnacentral:rRNA from 1 species